UGGGCGGUGGCUCCUGUGUGUCUCCUGCAUCGUCGUCCAUACCGUCGAUGUCUUAGGAGUCGAAGUCAAGCACGUCGGUUAAAUCAUCGACCGUGGAAAUGAAAUGGGUGGUGGGUGGGCAGUGAAUUCCUUCAUCGCCUGCUUCCUACUCAAGCCGGACAUAGUUUGGCCCAGAGCCUCCUGACAAAGAGAGAGACUUUAAUGAAUUUAGCAUGUCGCCAAAGGGCGAGUGCUGAAAGAUGUCCGCAGCGGUAAACUCCAUUACCGGAGCCCAACCUGGCUUGGCUGGCUCGAGGGCGUGCGGACCGGAACCAAUAGUCGGAUACGAGUUCGGGGGCCUGGGGUUACAGGCCUCAAUAGAGGUGAGACCCGUAUUCGGCUCCACGUCCGAUGAGUAUGCGGCCUGCUGGGCGGGGUCCACCCCUCCGUCCUUAGGCAAUGUGACCUGCUCCGAAUUUAGACCUGGGGCUACUGCAGGGAUGAUAUCCCGACCAUUGUCCGACAGCGGGUCUAGGUCGUGCUCGUCGUGACUGUCCGACGCUCCUGGCACAGGCCCGAAUCCGUCGAAGAUCAAGUCUCCGCGAAUAUCCUCCGUGUACUUCAAGUUUCCGAACCUGACCUGGUGGCCAGGGGCGUAGCUGUCGACCUGCUCCAGAUGACCAAGCGAAUUGGCCCGCAGUGCGAAGCCGCCGAACACAAAGAUCUGUCCGGGGAGAAAAGUCUCGCCCUGGACGGUGUUGUUGGUGAUUGAAGACGCCAUCAGGCCUCAAAGCGACGACACAGAGGAACUCUCAAUGAAAUCACCAAUGUCGGUGUCAAAACCGGCGGAUCUCGGGUAGGGGGUCCCGAUAUGUGCGUCUUAGGCUGAUGGUAACAGGAAGUAAGGGACACAAUGUUUACCCAGGCUCGGUCCCUCUCGAUGUAGGUAAAACCCUACUUCCUGCUUAAUUAAUAUUGAAGAUAUGAGCAGUACAAGAGUAUAUCUACCACGAGAUCAUAGAGGCUAAACUCUAGAAGCUAGCCUAUGAUGGUAUGAUUGUAAUUAUGAUCGGCCUUCUAAGGACCAUCCUCUCCGGUUUAUAAAGACACCGGAGAGGGCUAGGGUUUACAUGGAGUCGGUUACAAGGAAAGAAAUAUAAUAUCCGGAUCGCCAAGCUUGUCUUCCACGCAAAGGAGAGUCCCAUCCGGACACGGGACGAAGUCUUGAGUCUUGUAUCUUCAUGCUUCAACAGUCCGGACGAUGUAUAUAGUCCGGCUGUCCGGAUACCCCCUAAUCCGGGACUCCCUCAGUAGCCCCUGAACCAGGCUUCAAUGACGAUGAGCCCCUGAACCAGCAAGCAAGAAAAUCUCUAACAGUUUCUUCAUCCAUAACAUAACCCUCAGGUACAACAGGCAAUUCAUAUUUAGGGGGAGAGUCUUCAUCAUCACUUUCAUUAAUAUUAUCAGUUUCAAUAAUUUCAUUCUCUCUAGCCCUAGCAAGUUGUUCAUCCAGAAAUUCACCUAAUGGCACAGUAUUAUCAAGCAUAGAAGUAGUUUCAUCAUAAGUAUCAUGUAUAGCAGAAGUGGCAUCAUCAAUAACAUGUGACAUAUCAUAAUUAAUAGCAGAAGCAGGUUUAGGUGUCACAAGCUUACUCAAAAUAGAAGGAGAAUCAAGUGCAGAGCUAGAUGGUAGUUCCUUACCUCCCCUCAUAGUUGAGGGGAAAAUCUUAGUUCUUUCGUAUUUCAAGUUCCUCAUAGUGAUCAGCUGAUAUAAAUCCCAAGUGACUCAAAGAAUAGAGCUAUGCUCCCCGGCAAUGGUGCCAGAAAAUAGUCUUGAUAACCCACAAGUAUAUGGGAUCGCAAUAGUUUUCGAGGGUAGAGUAUUCAACCCAAAUUUAUUGAUUCGACACAAGGGGAGACAAAGAAUAUUCUCAAGUAUUAGCAGUUGAGUAGUCAAUUCAACCACACCUGGAAAACUUAAUAUCUGCAGCAAAGUAUUUAGUAGCAAUGUAGUAUGGAAGUAACGGUAACAGCGGCAAAAGUAACUGUAGCAGUUUUGUAGUAAGUGUAAUAGUGGCAACGGUAAAGUAACAAAGCGAAGAUCAAUAUGUGAAAAGCUCGUAGGCAUUGGAUCAGUGAUGGAUAAUUAUGUCGGAUGUGAUUCCUCGUGCAAUAGUUAAAACAUAGGGUGACACAAAACUAGCUCCAGUUCAUCAAUGCAAUGUAGGCAUGUAUUCUGAAUAUAGUCAUAUGUGCUUAUGGAAAAGAACUUGCAUGACAUCUUUUGUCCUACCCUCCCGUGGCAGCGGGGUCCUAUUGGAAACUAAGGGAUAUUAAGGCCUCCUUUUAAUAGAGUACCAUACCAAAGCAUUAACACUUAGUGAAUACAUGAACUCCUCAAACUAUGGUAAUCACCGGGAGUGGUCCCGAUUAUUGUCACUUCGGGGUUGUCAGAUCAUAACACAUAGUAGGUGACUAUUGACUUGCAAGAUAGGAUCAAGAACUCACAUAUAUUCAUGAAAACAUAAUAGGUUCAGAUCUGAAAUCAGGGCACUUGGGCCCUAGUGACAAGCAUUAAGCAUAGCAAAGUCAUAGCAACAUCAAUCUUAGAACAUAAUGGAUACUAGGGAUCAAACCCUAACAAAACUAACUCAAUUACAUGGUAAAUCUCAUCCAACCCAUCUGUUGGGAUCAACGGUAGGGUGCGUCGACUGCAAAUGAAAAAAAAUUACGCGUAGAACAACCAAGAACAUGCUACGGGAGAUGGAUCAAGAUAGUUACCACUAGACGCGCAGUGCCGUGCAGCGGAAGUAGAGUUGAGGCAGCGUGUUCCCGGAGUCGCCUCGCGUUCCCGGAGUCGCCUCCGCCUUGCCGGUCUCCCACAUAGGUUAUCGGAUCCUGCGAACAGGUUCGCUGGAGCGGCGCAAGUGCACCGCCUCUAACGGUAUCCGCACGUGUAGGAGGAAUGUCGUGCGGCAGACUGCUAGGUCCGAUCACACAACCGGCAACGAGUGGAGGUGGCUAUUCGCAAUACAUGCAAACCCUAGUUGCAGCUCUGAAGCGAAUCCACCCAUGAGUGUGUUGCACCUCCACUUUAUAUAGGCGUCUGUCGCGGGCUUAACACUUGGGCCUCGCACGGACCCUAAAGCCCACAAGUCUACUCAGCCACAAUCCGAAUACAGUUCGAAUCACAUCCGACCAGUGUCCUCGGAUCCGACCUCGUAGGUUCCUUCCCUUAAACGCGCGACCCCUUAGGUUCAAGUCGGCUUGGUCACAAUUCAGAUCACCUCUGAACUGCACGAUUGGUAGCGGCCUCUAGCAAGGCAUGCCGAACACCAAGCACACUAUGAAGGUGGUUAGGCGAACCUGUACAACAUGUCAUACUUCUGUUCCCUCUGCCACAUGAUAUAUGUUGUCGGGCUCAAGGCGAGAUUUUCAUCCUUGUGCUAGCCCGACUUCUUUCUCGUUCUAGUGAUGCCGACCACUAUCCGGAUUAUCUCAUAAUCCUUGUCGCAUGGUCAUUCUUAUCCUGGUCGGAUCACACAAGGGGCCCAAAGUAUAUCUCUCCUGAUCAGAGGGGCAAAUCCCAUCUUGCUAGACCAUGUCUCGCAGCAUGGGUCCGGACAAGCCCGAAACCUACCUUUGUAACUACCCAGUCACGGAGUAGUGUUUGGUCGGCCCAAAGCAGGUCUGUCACCAUCCCGAGUACAUGUGCCAGCUCAGGUCUUAGGACAUAGAACGUAUGUUGUACUAGAGACUCACAGAUGACAUAUCGCUGCGUCUCAUAGUUGGGUCUGUCCGACUCGGACCUUAUCUCGGGUCGGAUUCGACUACGUCAAAUCCGAGCAGACCUUUCCAAGUCCAUAUUAUCUGGUUAGCAUCCAAUACUCCAUGGCUAGUGAGACCAAGCCAUCAACCGUGUCAUAUGCUAGUCUAGCCGGUUGCGUGUCCACACAGCCCUUUCGACUAGGGACCUUUUAGGACAGUCAUCAUACAAUGCAUAGUCCCACAAACAAGUCACGUACUUGCUGAUACACAUCAUUGAUAAUGUCCAAGGACUAUCUUUAUUCAUAAACACAUAGGAAAUAUCAUCAUACAUGAUUGCCUCUAGGGCAUAUCUCCAACACCAUCACCGUCCAGCAAGCCUACGAUGGAAUUACUCACGCACGAUGGUGAGCAUCAUGAAAUUGGUGAUGGAGGAUGGUUGAUGAUGACGACGGCGAUGGAUUCCCCUCUCCAGAGCCCCGAACGGACUCCAGAUCAGCCCUCCCGAGAGAGAUUAGGGCUUGGCGGCGGCUCUGUAUCGUAAAACACGAUGAAUCCUUCUCUUUGAUUUUUUCUCCCCGAACGUGAAUAUAUGGAGUUGGAGUUGAGGUCGGUGAGCACUAGGGGGCCCAUGAGGCAGGGGGCAUGCCCAGGGGGGUAGGGCGUGCCCCCCACCCUCGUGGACAGGGUGUGGGGCCCCUGGCCUUGGUUCUUUCGCCAAUAUUUUUUAUUAAUUCCAAAAAUAACUUCUGUUGAGUUUCAGGUCAUUCUGAGAACUUUUAUUAUUCCACAAAAAUAACACCAUGGUAGUUCUGCUGAAAACAGCGUUAGUCCGGGUUAGUUCCAUUCAAAUCAUGCAAGUUAGAGUCCAAAACAAGGGCAAAAGUGUUUGAAAAAGUAGAUACGAUGGAGAUGUAUCACAUUGUUAGUACAAGGGAACAUCAACCUCAAAACAUAACAAAAUUUAUCACCUCAUGGGGAAGUCAAUAUAACUCCAGCCUCCGAGCCUUCCAACUGCCUGGAUCCAUCAAAAUGAAUAGUCCAAUAUGUAUUAUCUGGCUUAUCCUCAAGCAUCUGCAACUCUGUCCAAUCAUUGAUGAAGUCCACAAGUGCUUGAGAUUUUAUAGCCGUCUGAGGCACAUAUUUUAAACCAUGGGGUCCAAGCUCAAUAGCCCACUUAGGUACCCGACCUAUGGCUUCUCUAUUUUGAAUAAUAUCCCCCAAAGGAGCAGAGCUAACCACAGUCAUGGGAUGACCAAGGAAAUAUUGUUUCAAUUUGCAACUAGCCAUGAACACACCAUAAACCAGCUUCUGCCAAUGUGGGUAUCUCUGCUUAGACUCAAUGAGCACCUCACUGACAUAAUAAACUGGCCUUUGAACCAGAUACUCCUUGCCUGACUCCUUCCUUUCAACCACAACUACUACACUGACAGCCCUGUUGUUUGCAGCCACAUAUAACAGCAAGGGCUCCUUAUCAAUAAGGGUUGCAAGAACCGGUGGCUCAGCCAGCUGCUUCUUAAGUGCCUCAAACGCCUUAUUAGCGGCACCGCUCUAGACAAAGUUAUCUAUCUUCUUCAUCAUCUGAUACAAAGGGAUAACCUUCUCUCCUAGGAGAUUUAUAAACCGGCUCAAAGCUGCGAUACGACCCGCCAAACGCUGGAUGUCAUUGAUACAUGCCGGCUUAGCCAAAGAGGUGAUAGCCUUGAUCUUCUCUGGGUUAGCUUUAAUGCCUCUCUUAGACACCAAGAAACCCAAUAACUUGCCAGCUGGCAGGCCAAAAACAGAAUUGGUCGGGUUAAGCAUCAUCUUGUAGACCCGGAGGUUGUCAAAGGUCUCCUUCAAAUCCUCAAUAAACGUCUCCUUCUUCCUGGAUUUCACAACAAUAUCAUCCACAUAAGCAUGAACAUUGCGCCCAAUCUGACCAUGAAGGAAAUUCUGAACACAUCGUUGGUAAGUUGCCUGGGCACUCUUGAGCCCAAAUGGCAUAGAUACAUAACAGAAGGCUCCAAAGGGAGUGAUAAAGGUUGUCUUAUCCUGGUCCUUGACUGCCAUUUUGAUCUGAUGAUAACCAGAGUAAGCAUCCAAAAAACUCAAGCGCUCGCAACCCGCCGUAGCAUCAAUAAUCUGAUCAAUACAAGGGAGAGCAAAAGGAUCAGUCAGACAGGCUUUGUUAAGGUCUGUAUAAUCCAAACACAUCCGCCAAGUGCCAUUUUUCUUAAGCACUAGGUAUCGGAUAAGAGAAAUAUUUUAACCAUUGGUAAGUAAUGAUGAUGUGACUGAUCUUUUUAAGAAGAUGAAAAAUUUAUGAGAAAAAACUCAAAUGGUAGCGACUCUACAUGUUUCGCUUAAUUGUACUUUCUAUAACUUAAGAAAUUAACAUGUCAUUUCUAUUUUUUAUCGGGAAGACCUUUUAGAAUACAACUUGUAAUAGGAUUAGGACUGCUACUCAGUUUAUAAUAGGGCUAGGUUAGGUGCGGCUUGGCUCUUAUAUAUACCUCUUGUAACGGCACAAUGUUGCGUCAACAAUUAUUCAAUAGUUAUUCAAUACAACUCUACAUGGUAUCAGACUUACGAUCCUAGGGUAUGGCUUCCGCCUCUGUUCCGAUCGGGACGAUUGCAUCUGGCGCCGCUGCCGCCGGAUCGAUCAUCGCUGAAUCCAUCUCCUCUGCCCCGCUGCAUGCAAUGCCAUGCAUGCCCCAGCAUGGCCACGGGCCGCACACUCCUGCCUCGUUAGCACAUGGCUUCGGGCUGCAUGCUGCUGCAUCGUUCCAGACGGCUGGCUUUACCCCACCGCCCGCGCAUGGCUACGGGCCACACGUCUACGGCACCAUGCAACACGGCGCGUUGCCCGCAGGAGCCACAGGUGAGCACUACUAUGCGUCAUCUACGGGGUACUAUGCGGUCGCGCCUGUGACUUCGUCCAGUACAUCGUCCGCGGCUCUCUGCAACACACCUGCGGCGCUAUACAAUACACCGGCGAUCUAUGGCGACUACCAGCCAGCUCCUUCGAUGGCACCGUACUACAAUGCUCCUGCUUCAUCAACUGCACCACCACCGCCGCCCGGAUGGCGCCCAUCUCCUGAUCCAUGGACAGGACUAGUCCAGGUGUGGCCUAUGCCCUGGUCUGCCCCUACGCCAUAUGGUGCACUGCCUGCCUAUACUCCAUCCUCGCGCCCCGACUGCCGACCUCACCACACCCGCAAGCUCCCAUGACUACACCGGCCGCUACUUCGACUCCGAGCUGGGACCAAGCUACUUUUCUAUAAGCCAUGAACAACUUUGCUGCACAAGGGAACUCAGGUACGGAUUGGAUGUUUGAUUCUGGUGCUUCUCGUCAUAUGUCUGCAUCGAGUAAUUUGCUUUCUUCUUGCACACCUUCGUCUUUUCCCUUUAUUACUCUCGGUGAUGGAUCUUCUAUUCCUAUUUAAUGUGUCGGUCAGGCUCAAAUGCAAUCCCCAACUAAGCCUCUGCUUCUUCGUGAUGUUCUUGUAGCUCCUGCCCUUAUUGAAAAUCUGAUUUCUGUUCGCCAAAUCACCACUGAUAAUCUUGUUUCUGUUGAGUUUGACCCCUUUGGUUUGUCUGUGAAAGACUACUGGACCAAGUCCGAGAUUGCUCAAUUCAAUAGCUCUGGUGAUUUAUAUUCUCUCCAUGGUGCUCCGGUCGCUGCUCCUCCAACAUCUAUGGUGGCCUCUGUUGAUAUGUGGCACCAACGUCUCGGCCAUCCCGAUAAAAAUGUGUUAUCCACACUUCUUAGUGAAUUUUCAAUACCAUGUAAUAGAGGUUCUCAUAAUUCUUCUAUGUGUCAGUCAUGUCAAUUGGGCAAACAUGUUCGCCUUCCCUUUAGUUCCUCUCAAUACUCUAGUACUUUUCCUUUUGAAUUACUUCAUUGUGAUCUCUGGACAUCACCAAUAGAAAGUGUAUCAGGUUUUAAGUAUUAUCUCGUGAUUCUUGAUGAUUUUACUCAUUAUGUUUGCACUUUUCUUUUACACAACAAAUCCGACGUUCAUAAUAUAUUCAUUAACUUUCAGCGCUAUGUCUCAGUCCAAUUUUUCCUCCCUAUAAGAUUCAUCCAAUGUGAUAAUGGUCGUGGAUUUGACAACUUUAAAAAUCAAAAUUUCUUUCUACAAUAUGGAAUUAUCUUACGUUUCUCCUGUCCUUAUACCUCCCCUGAAAACGGCAAAGUCAAGCGUUCUCUUCGUACUCUUAAUGACAUCAUUUGCACUUUGCUUAUUCAAUCUUCUAUGCCGUCGAUGUUCUGGGUAGAGGCACUCCACACGGCCACAUAUUUACUCAAUAUUCGUCUAUCUAAAGUUAACACACAAACUACUCCUUACUUCUCUUUAUUUCUCUCUCAUCCAAAUUACUUCGACGUUUGCGUCUUCGUUUGUCUUUUUUUCAAACUCCUACUCCACUUCUCCUAACAAACUUUCCCUAUGCUCUAUCCCGUGUGUCCAUCUAGGUUUUUUUGACGAGCACAAGGGUUAUCGUUGUCUAGAUCUUGUUAGUGGUUGUGUUCAUGUGUCUCGUCAUGUAACAUUUGCUAAAAACAUUUCCCCCUUUUCCGAGCGUCAACAAUUAGAUUCCAACUCACCCGCGCCUUCCACUAGUCCCUCUCGUCGCAAUCAUCUUCCCUUCUUUCACCCGCCGACCAAUCCAGCGAAACCAGUCGCAGUAGCAGAUCCUGCCGCCACCACUUCUGUCACCACCUCUGCCCCGGCAGAGGAAAACACAUUACACUCUGACGCGGCAGACCUCCUGCAGCCGUAGUCUUCACCACCAUCUCCCGCGUCCUCUUCCUCCACUACGCCGGACGCAUCCACCACAUCUUCCCCCACCCCUCCUGCUCAUGCUAUUCCCGUUCCAGCUCCUACUAACGAUCAUAUCAUAUGCGCACGUGCCAAGUCCGGGUUUCGUUUACCUGCAGAAGAUUGUCUCAAUCUUCAUGCAACUUUAUCUCCUUCCUCUCUACCCAAAUCUUACAAAUCAGCUCUCCUAGAUCCUAAUUGGGCCGCAGCUAUGGAAAAUGAAUAUGAUGCCCUUCUGCAGAAUAACACGUGGCAGUUAGUUCCUCAUCCUUCCAAUACAAAUAUCAUUUCAGGCAAAUGGGUUUUUCGCCAUAAAUUUAAUUCUGAUGGGAGUCUUGCACGUUAUAAGGCUCGAUGGGUAUGUUGUGGUUACUCUCAGCAACACGGCAUAGAUUAUGAUGAGACUUUCUCUCCAGUUUUCAAGCCCAGCACUAUUCGCACUGUCCUUAGCAUCGUCGUCUCUUCUUCCUGGCCAAUUCAUCAACUAGAUGUCAAAAAUGCUUUUCUUCAUGGCUCUCUUCAAGAAACAGUCUAUUGUCAACAACCUCUUGGCUUCGAACAUUCCUCCUAUCCUAAUCAUGUUUGUCUUCUUCAAAAAUCUCUGUAUGGUCUUAAACAAGCACCAAGUGCCUGGUUCCAACGCUUUUCUACUUAUGCCCAAACCAUCGGUUUUACCCCUUCCCAUUCUCACACUUCACUCUUCACCUUUCAUCACAACAACAACACUGCUUACCUUCUUUUAUAUGUUGAUGAUAUUAUCCUCACAGCUUCCUCCAACAAUUUUUAGAUCAUAUUAUCUCUCUUCUUCGCCAUGAAUUUUCUAUGAUAGAUUUAGGUCUUCUUCACCACUUCUUAGGUAUUGCUGUUAUCCGUGACUCCUCUGGUCUUUUCUAGUCUCAACGUCAGUACACUCUGGAUCUUCUUUCUCGUGCUGGUAUGCUUGAUUGUCAAACUUCUCGUACCCCUGUUGAUACAGGUUCCAAACUCUCUGUUGACGGUGAUCCUUUCUCGAUCCUUCUCUUUAUCGUAGUCUUACCAGUGCACUUCAGUAUCUUACUCUCACUCGUCCUGAAAUUUCUUUUGUUGUCCAACAAGCUUGUUUAUACAUGCAUGAUCCUCGUAUUCCACACUACAAUUAUGUCAAACGUAUUCUUCGGUAUCUCAAAGGCACACUAGACUUAGGUCUUCAUAUCAACAAAUCCUCUCCCGCCUCCUUGACAGCUUACUCUGAUGCAGCUAGGCUGGUUUUCCAGAUACUUGUAGGUCCACAUCCGGAUUUUGUGUUUUUCUUGGUAACAAUUUGGUUUCUUGGUCUUCAAAAAGGCAGGUUACGAUCUCCCGCUCGUCUGCUGAAGCUGAGUACCGUGUUGUGGCUCAUGCGGUUGCUAAAAUGGUUUGGUUGCGCCAGUUGCUAUCGGAGCUGCACCGUCCUAUUGAACAAGCUACCAUUGUUUACUGUGAUAAUAUUUCAGCUGUCUACAUGUCAGGGAAUCUGGUUCAACACCGCCGCACCAAGCAUAUUGAGAUCGACAUUCAUUUUGUUCGAGAGAAGGUGGCUCUCGGUCAAGUUCGUGUUCUCCACGUGCCUACUUCUGCUCAGUUCGCUGAUAUCUUUACUAAAGGCCGGGCGACUACUCCGUUUCAAGACAUUCGUUUCAGUCUCAACGUCGUCGAGCCUACCGUUGACACUGCGGGGGGGGGGGGUGUUAGAAUAUAACUUGUAAUAGGAUUAGGACUCCUACUCGGUUUGUAAUAGGGCUAGGUCAGGUGCGUCUUGGCUCUUAUAUAUACCUCUUGUGGCACAAUAUUGCGUCAACAAUUAUUCAAUAGUUAUUCAAUACAACUCUACAAGACCUAAUCUAGCUGUCCAUGAAAAUACAAAUUUGUUUGUUUGAUUAUUGUGUUUGAAACGUAUGAAAAGAGGUUUUACAAUUUCAUUCAACCAAUAUUUACUAACCCUGUAUUUUUAUGUAACUAUUAUAUGCGGGUGAUAUUUCGAUUUCUUAUGUUGUCUUUUGAGUGUUAUAAUUUGCGAUGCGAUGACUGGUUGUAGGCGGCCCUUUCGGCGAUCCUCCAUGGCGCCAGCCGUGCCUGGUUUCGUUCUUCUGAAUUCUCCGUCGGAGUCGGAGCUGCGUUGUAUGGCCGCAAAUCGACAUGUCGUCGAUAAGGGUGGGCUUUGCCCUGUGUGUUUCAGUCUAUGGGAGUGGGCUUAGCCCUUGUUGUUCCGGUUUUUGUCCGGUUUUCCAUAAUUAAUUAGGCAAUUCUCUUCUGCUUAAUUAAUAGAUGAGGCAAUCUUUGCCUCUGUUUUGAAAAAAAAUAAUUUACGAUGUAGUAUGUGAUUGUACAAACAAUGGAAGGUCAAGCUAUGUACGUAUUGGGGGGGGGAGGCAUUAGCCCCCAGUUUUGGAUCAAGUUGAAGGAUGCUUUUUUGGGAGAGUCUAGAUUGGAAUAUACUAGAAGCGUAAGCGCGCUUUGCUGCACCGCCUAGACUAUAAUGGUUUCAUUUAUGUUUUGUAUCUUUCACGAUGAUAUGUGUGUGAAAGGCUAGACUCUGUCUGUUGUUUCAUCCUGGUGGAUGCUUAGUAUUGUUUGGAAGCUCAUUAGAGAGGGGCAUUUGCAUUAUCUCCAGGACCUAGAGCUUGCUUUGGUGGUCAAACCAUACAUAACAACUACUGUAGGUUUGAGCUAGGGUUCACAACAUGGAUCCCGUUACCCUGCAUCAAAAGCAUGAAACAUAUUUAUCAAAUCAAGAGAUGUUUUCACAAAAGGAACAUCCAUUGGGUUGAAAGUUGAAACAAAAACAAAGAAAUACACCAAAUGAAAAAGGAGAGUAAUAAUUUGCCUACAUAGCACACAAAAUGCAUUUUAACCAAAAAGACACAUGAAUAAAUCUAAGUUGUAGCUUGCAUUAACAACAAACAUGGUACACAACCAAGACAAAAUGCAAACCAACUGGCCAUCUCAUCUACCAAUAUGAGGUGCACCUGUAAGAGGUCACAAUCUAUGUGGCCAUCGCGGUAUUCCCGAAGAUAGCACUCUUCAUACAGAUCCGAUCAUCAUAUUCUCCAUCGCAAAGGUCCUGUAAAAGCGAGUGCUCCAUAGGCCCAAUGUGUUCAAAGCUAAAAAUAAACUCUAUAUGCAUAAACCGGCAAGAAGCCGACCCACACAACCAUGCAACAAUGGCUACCCAAACAACCUAGCACAAUGCAAUGUCGAAAGCCGAAGGCAGAAAAUGCACCUCACAAAAUGCCCCUUAAAUACCAACCAAACACAAAAUCCCUAAGGGCAUUGUUAGCAAACCACGACAAUGAUAGAAGAAAAGCGGAGUAACACGCGCGGAGAGAGGAGAAAACAGAAGGAUCUAUCACCAUGCCGCCCAAACACCGAACCGAGCAAGAAGUGGGCAACCCAAGACGCGGACAUGGUAGCGGGGCACCUCCUCCCUCCAGCUAUAACCCAUAACAGCCAGCCGUAGCGAAAAGAAGCAGGGGUGGUGGACGGGCUGAGGACCUACGCCGAAUAACUUAGGGCAUCUCCAAGGCGAUUCCCCAAAUAGGAACCAAAAUGCCUGCAAACAUCGUCCGAACAUGUCUGAUGGCAUCUCUGACACCCCUCUUUUGUGGAAAAAUAAUGAUACAAAGACGCUCUUCAAUUGACUGCCUAUUUUGUCGAACUGCGCCAGAAAUGAGCUCGGAUCCUCGUCGCAGCUACGGCCAACAGUGACCAAAACCCACACCGAAUAAGGCCUUUCCUAACUGGUUGCGCACGCAACCAGUAUCGGGGCCGUCGCUGUGCCUUGUGGAUCCGAUCGAGCCUGGCCCACAUGGCCCCACCCUGAUAUGGCGAUUUCAGUUUUCCCGUCGAAUAUGAAGCGAAUACAUGUCCUAUCAUAUCUGGCUCCUACGUACGUUGGCGCCUAGCCCGUACUCGCCUACUUCCCCCGUCCACUACCCCCGUGACCAGGUUGCCCCAUCCACCAAGCCAGACGCAGUUCAAAAUUCGAAUCUCAUCAGGCAGACUGGGCUACAUCGACCGGCGGUACCACGCCCUCCCCAUCGGCGCCCCUGGAUCUCGUGAGGUCAUUAGGACUCAAGAAUGAAUCGCGGUGGCGAGUCAUUCACGGAUCUCAUAUUCAGGUUUCUCCUCUCACAAGAUCCUCUUCUUCUUUCUUUGUCUUCUCUAGCAACUACUCCCUUCGUUCGGAAUUACUUGUCUCGAAAAUGGAUGUAUCUAUAACUAAAAUAUGUCUAGAUACAUCCAUUUUCGCGACAAGUAAUUCCGAACGGAGGGAAUAGUUAGGAAAAAUCCACACCCCACACCCACGCACCCAGUGGCACACAACACACCAACGUCAAGAGUGAACACCAGCAGCUCACACAGCCAGUAGCACCUUGCAUCGACAUGCAGCUGCCCACGCACAAAGAGUGGCAGAACACAUGCGUAGACACGGGAGCUCCGCCCAUGGGAGAGAGACGCGAGCUCCUCCCCCGCCGUGAAAGCCACCGCUGAACAUGAGUGUGCCCAGUCCCUGCACACAUACGAGCACUCACACGAAACAGCCAGUGAGCGCUUGUCGCGGCCUUAGCAACCAUGACAGAGCUGUUGAGUAUAUGUGUUAUGUGCAUAUUGUGUAUUGGGUUCGUCUCCUAGUUUUUUGUAUAGUUGAGGUCUGUGACCCACCUUUAUACAUCAUAUAUACAUGCAUAUGCACGAAGUGCAAUACAUCGUGCAAUUCCAACAACAUACAUGGUAUCAGUUUCCGGGUUCUAACCCUAGUCUUCCAUCGCCGCCGCCAUGCGCCUUCUCCGCACCGCGUGCCUCUCCUGCGCCGCCGCCGCCGCCGCCGUUCGCGCGCCCUCCGCGCCGGCCGCCGCUCCUGCCCCUCCCUGCUGCGUGUCGCCCGAGCCGCUAGCUGCGCCCGAUCCCGCUCGCCCAGCUUCUCACGAUCGUACCUCGCGUCGCCACUUCACUCCUUCACGCUAGCCCCGCGCGAGUUGAUCGCUAGCUUAGCUGAUUAAGCUAGCUACUAAUCGUGCGUGAGUGUCCAGCAGAAAAAGAUCUAGUAGCUAGUCAGCCCGCGUGCUCCUGUGUAUGUACGCACCGGACGGAAUCAAGUGGCUAGCUAGUGUCGCUAGCGGCUAUUGCAUCUCCCGCUAGCCGCCAGCCGCGUGACGCACUACCUGCGCGGCCGCACGUCGCUACUGCCUCUAGCCGUCGCCAGCCGCUGCAACCCGCGUCAACGAAGCCUUCUGCUGCUGCAGCCCAACCGUGCCGGUCAUCGCCGUCGUACCAGUAAUGGCGUCACCAGGCCCGUUCGCCGCCGCCUCUGGCGUCCCGUCGCCGGCGCCCUACAGUGCGGCCCCGCCGCCAUACGGGGCGGCCGUCACCUACGACGUGCCCGUUCCCACGUACGGGGCAUACGGGACUCCGCCCGCAUUCACGUACGGGUCUCCACCUGCGUAUGGGGCUCCGCCCGCGUACGAGUCUUCUAGGUACUGGUGGGGGUCGUCAGCGGGCCAGCACUCACCUGCUGGGCAGCAGCCAUACGGCGCCCAGCACCUGCAGCAUCUGUCAGUGGGCCGGCAGAUUUUUUCGGCAGGCCAUCCGGCCUACCCGGCACCGCAGUUGCAGCCGGGGCUGUAUGGAGCAUACCCACCGCCGCCGUUGAGCGGCGGCUAUGGCUUCCCCAUGGCGUCUUCGUCCCCCUCGCCGGCCCUGCUGUCGGCGCCCUGGGACCCGGUGCUCCUCACUGGGCUGCAUGCCGCUACUACGCCGAACAACUACACUGGAGGUGGUGAUUGGUACAUGGACACCGGUGCUACAACUCACAUAUUUGCUCAUCCUGGUAACCUUGCCUCCUUCACUCCUGUCUCCACCGACCGCCGCAUCAUUGUCGACGACGGUUACACACUUCCUAUCACACAUGUUGGGAACACUUCUUUCCCUUCUACUUCUACUCCACUAUCUUUGUCUAACAUACUUGUGUCACCUCAUCUUAUUAAGAAUCUCAUUUCCGUUCGUUGUUUCACUCGUGAAAAUCCUGUUACUGUUGAAUUUGAUGAGCUUGGUUUUUUUGUCAAAGACGCUCGAACCAGGAUGGUGCUUCACCGAUGUGACAGCCCCGACGAGCUCUAUCCGGUGCACUCGCCUUCAUCCAGCACCACCACACCGGUUGCUCUCUCCGCUGGCGUCGAUCUCUGGCACGCUCGCUUGGGUCAUCCCAACCCCGUCACACUUCGUCAUAUUCUUAGGAGUUUCAGUUUCAGUUGCAAUAAGAUCGAGGAUCACACUUGUCAUACCUGUCGAGUCGGCAAACAUGUUCGUCUCCCGUUUACUAAUUCCACCACCAUUGCUUCUUUUCCUUUUCAGCUGAUUCAUAGUGAUGUGUGGACUUCUCCGGUUCCCAGUAACUCGGGCUAUUUAUAUUAUCUAGUCAUUCUUGAUGAUUAUUCUCACUAUGUGUGGACUUUUCCUUUGCGCAGAAAGUCGGAUGCACUCUCUACCUUGACGGCCUUUUACUCCUCUGUUCGCACGCAGUUUGGGCGUCCCAUCCUUGCGCUUCAGAAGGACAAUGGAAAAGAGUUCGACAGCCUCGCUUUCCGCACCUUUUUGUCACAUCACGACACAAUUUUCCGCCUCACAUGUCCGUACACUUCACAGGAGAACGGUCGAGCCGAACGCGUCCUUCGCACUCUGAACGACUGCGUUCGCACGCUCCUGUUUCAUGCCAACGUUCCGCCUCAUUUCUGGCCGGACGCACUCGCCACUGCAUCACUUCUUCUUAACAUUAGACCCUGCCGCCCAUGGUGGAACUACGCACCUCAACAUCUUCUCUUUGGUACGCCCCCGUCUUAUGACGACUUACGUAUUUUUGGGUGCCUUUGCUAUCCUAGCACUGCCGACACUGCUUCUCACAAUCUUGCACCUCGAUCUGACACUUGCAUCUUCAUCGGCUGCCCCUCCAACUCCAAGGGAUAUCGGUGCUACGAUCCCGUCUCCCACCGUGUGUUCACUUCUCGGCACGUUUACUUUGAUGAGCAUGUGUUUCUGUUUCACCAGGUACCCCCGGCUGUUCCUCCCGGCACUGAUGACGCGGGCUCCUCGACGCCUCUCCCAGGGCGCUCGCGCGCCUCUCUUGGCGCGCCCCCUGGCUUUGCGGUGCGCCCCCUACAUGCAGCGCCUCCUACAGCCGUGGCGCUGGCGCCCCCGGUACCCCCGACGUUGGCGCCCGCGGCCCCUGCGGCUCCUCUGGCGCCCGCGGCCACCAUGGCGCCCCCGACGCCUCCGAUGUUGGCGCCCUCGGCCCCCUUGGUGCCCGCGGCCCCCGUGGCGCCCCCGGUGCUGUUGGGGAACGUAGUGAUUUCAAAAAAAUUCCUACGCACACGCAAGAUCAUGGUGAUGGUAUAGCAACGAGAGGGGAGAGUGUUGUCCACGUACCCUCGUAGACCGUAAGCGGAAGCAUUAUGACAAUGCGGUUGAUGUAGUCGUACGUCUUCACGAUCCGACAGAUUCAAGCACCGAACGUACGGCACCUCCGUGUUCAGCACACGUUCAGCUCGAUGACGUUCCCCGGGCUCCAAUCCAGCAAAGCGUCGGGGAUGAGUUUCGUCAGCACGACGGCGUGGUGAUGAUGAUGAUGUUCUACCGGCGCAGGGCUUUGCCUAAACUCCGCGACGAUAUGACCGAGGUGGAAUAUGGUGGAGGGGGGCACCGCACACGGUUAAGGAACGAUCCGUAGAUCAACUUGUGUGUUCUAGGGGUGCCCCCCUCCCCCGUAUAUAAAGGGGGAGAGGAGGAGGGGGCCGGCCAAGGGGAGAGGCGCGCCCUAGGGGGAGAAUCCUACUCCAAGUAGGAUUCCCCCUCUUUCCUAGUCCAAGUAGGAGAGGGGAAGGAAGGGAAGGAGAAGGAGAAGGAAGGAGAGGGAGGAAAAGGAGGAAAGGGGGGCCGGCCCCCUAGUCCAAUUCGGUUUGGGCUAGGGGGGCCGCGCGCCCUGCCUCCUCUCUUCCACCACUUGGCCCAUGAGGCCCAUUGCUUCUUCCUCGUAUUCCCGUAACUCCUCGGUACCCACGAAAAUACCCGAAUCACUCGGAACCUUUCCGAACUCCGAAUAUAGUCGUCCAAUAUAUUGAUCUUUACGUCUCGAUCAUUUCGAGACUCCUCGUCAUGUCCCCGAUCUCAUUCGGGACUCCGAACUCUUUCGGUACAUCAAAACUCAUAAACUCAUAAUAAAACUGUCAUCGAAACCUUAAGCGUGCGGACCCUACGGGUUCGAGAACUAUGUAGACAUGACCUAGAACUAUUCUCGAUCAAUAACCAAUAGCGGAACCUGGAUGUCCAUAUUGGUUCCUACAUAUUCUACGAAGAUCUUUAUCGGUCAAACCGCAUAACAACAUACGUUGUUCCCUUUGUCAUCGGUAUGUUACUUGCCCGAGAUUCGAUCGUCGGUAUCCAAUACCUAGUUCAAUCUUGUUACCGGCAAGUCUCUUUACUCGUUCCGUAAUACAUCAUUUCAUAACUAGCUCAUUAGUUACAAUGCUUGCAAGGCUUAAGUGAUGUGUAUUGCCGAGAGGGCCCAGAGAUACCUCUCCGACAAUCGGAGUGACAAAACCUAAUCUCGAAUUAUGCCAACUCAACAUGUACCUUUGAAGACACCUGUAGAGCACCUUUAUAAUCACCCAAUUAUGUUGUGACGUUUGGUAGCACACAAAGUGUUCCUCCGGUAAACGGGAGUUGCAUAAUCUCAUAAUUACAGGAACAUGUAUAAGUCAUGAAGAAAGCAAUAGCAACAUACUAAACGAUCAAGUGCUAAGAUAACGGAAUGGGUCAAGUCAAUCACAUCAUUCUUCUAAUGACGUGAUCCCAUUAAUCAAAUGACAACACAUGUCUAUGGUUAGGAAACAUAACCAUCUUUGAUUAAUGAGCUAGUCAAGUAGAGGCAUACUAGUGACGUUAUGUUGGUCUAUAUAUUCACACAUGUAUUAUGUUUCCGGUUAAUACAAUUCUAGCAUGAAUAAUAAAAAUUUAUCAUGAUAUAAGGAAAUAAAUAAUAACUUUAUUAUUGCCUCUCGGGCAUAUUUCCUUCAGUCUCCCACUUGCACUAGAGUCAAUAAUCUAGUUCACAUCGCCAUGUGAUUUAACACCAAUAUUCAUACUUGUAUAUGAUUAACACCCAUAGUUCACAUCGUCAUGUGACCAACACCUAAAGGAUUUACUAGAGUCAAUAAUCUAGUUCACAUUGUUAUGUGAUUAACACCCAAAGAGUACUAAGGUAUGAUCAUGUUUUGCUUGUGAGAGAAGUUUAGUCAACGGGUCUGUCACAUACAAAGCCGUAUGUAUUUUGCAAAUAUUCUAUGUCUACAAUGCUCUGCACGUAGCUACUCUAGCUAAUUGCUCCCACUUUUAAUAUGUAUCCAGAUUGAGACUUAGAGUCAUUUGGAUCGAUGUAAAAGCUUGCACCGAUGUAACUCUUUACUACGGGCUCUUUUAUCACCUCCAUAAUCGAGAAAUAUUUCCUUUGUCCUCACUAAGGAUAUUCUUGACCAAUGUCCAGUGAUCUACUCUUAGAUCACUAUUGUACUCCCUUGUCAAAUACAGAGCAAGGUAUACAAUAGGUCUGGUACAUAGCAUAGCAUACUUUAUAGAACCUAUGACUGAGGCAUAGGGAAUGACUUUCAUUCUAUUUUCUAUUUUCUGCCGUGGUCGGGAUUUGAGUCUUACUCAAUUUCACACCUUUGCAACACAGGCAAGAAACUCUUUCUUUGACUGUUUCAUUUUGAACUACUUCAAAAUCUUGUCAAGGUAUGUACUCAUUGAAAAACUUAUCAAGCGUCUUGAUCUAUCUCAAUAGAUCUUGAUGCUCAAUAUGUAAGUAGCUUUACUGAGGUCUUUCUUUUUAAAACUCCUUUCAAACACUCAUUUAUGCUUUGCAGAAUAAUUCUGCAUUAUUUCCGAUCAACAAUAUGUCAUUCACAUAUACUUAUCAGAAAUGUUGUAGUGCUCCCACUCACUUUCUUGUAAAUACAGGCUUCACCGCAAGUCUGUAUAAAACUAUAUGCUUUGAUCAUCUUAUCAAAGUGUAUAUUCCAACUCAGAGAUGCUUGCACCAGUCCAUAGAUGGAUUGCUGGAGUUUGCAUAUUUUGUUAGCACCUUUAGGAUUGACAAAACCUUCUGGUUGCAUCAUAUACAACUCUUCUUUAAGAAAACCAUUAAGGAAUGCAGUUUUGACAUCCAUUUGCCAGAUUUCAUAAAAUGUGGCAAUUGCUAACAUGAUUCAGACAGACUUAAGCAUCGACACGAGUGAGAAAAUCUCAUCGUAUUCAACACCUUGAACUUGUCGAAAAACUUUUUGCAACAAGUCGAGCUUAGUAGAUAGUAACACUACUAUCAGGGUUCGUCUUCCUCUUGAAGAUCCAUUUAUUUAACAUGGCUUGCUGAUCAUCGAGCAAGUCAAUCAAAGUCCAUACUUUGUUCUCAUACAUGGAUCAUAUCUCAGAUUUUAUGGCCUCAAGCCAUUUCGCAGAAUCUGGGCUCAUCAUCGCUACCUCAUAGUUCGUAGGUUCAUCAUGGUCUAGUAACAUGAUUUCCAGAAUAGGAUUACCGUACCACUCUGGUGCAGACCGUACUCUGGAAGACCUACGAGGUUCUGUAGUAACUUGAUCAGAAGUUUCAUGAUCAUCAUCAUUAGCUUCCUCAUUAAUUGGUGUAGGAAUCACUGGAACUGAUUUCAGUGAUGAACUAUUUUCCAAUUCAGGAUAAGGUACAGUUACCUCAUUAAGUUCUACUUUCCUCCCACUCACUUCUUUUGAGAGAAACUCCUUCUCUAGAAAGGAUCUAUUUUUAGCAACGAAUGUUUUGCCUUCGGAUCUGUGAUAGAAGGAGUACCCAACAGUUUCCUUUGGGUAUUCUAUGAAGACGCACUUCUCCGAUUUGGGUUCGAGCUUAUCAGGUUGAAAACUUUUUUCAUAUAAGCAUCGCAACUCCAAACUUUAAGAAACGACAGCUUAGGUUUAUUGCUAAACCAUAGUUCAUACAGUGUCAUCUCAACGGAUUUAGAUGGUGCCCUAUUUAAAUGUGAAUGCAGCUGUCUCUAAUGCAUAACCCCAAAACGAUAGUGGUAAACCGAUAAGAGACAUCAUAGAUCGCACCAUAUCUAGUAAAGUACGAUUACGAUGUUCGGACACACCAUUACAUUGUGAUGUUCCAGGUGGCGUGAGCUGUGAAACUAUUCCACAUUGUUUUAAUUGAAGACCAAACUCGUAACUCAAAUAUUCGUCUCCGCGAUCAGAUCGCAGAAACUUUAUUUUCUUGUUACGAUGAUUUUUCCACUUCACUCUGAAAUUCUUUGAACCUUUCAACUAUUUCAGACUUAUGUUUCAUCAAGUAGAUAUACCCAUAUCUACUCAAAUCAUCUUGUGAAGGUCAGAAAAUAACGAUACUUGCCACGAGCAUCAACACUCAUUGGAUCGCAUACAUCGGUAUGUAUUAUUUCCAAUAAGUCAGUAGCUUGUUCCAUUGUUCCGGAGAACAGAGUUUUAGUCAUCUUGCCCAAAAGGCACGGUUCGCAAGCAUCAAAUGAUUCAUAACCAAGUGAUUCCGAAAAUCCAUCUUUAUGGAGUUUCUUCAUGCGCUUUACACCGAUAUGACCCAAACGGCAGUGCCACAAAUAAGUUGCACUAUCAUUAUUAACUUUGCAUCUUUUGGCAUCAAUAUUAUGAAUAUGUGUAUCACUACGAUCAAGAUCCAACAAACUAUUUUCAUUGGGUGUAUAACCAUCGAAGGUCUUAUUCAUGUAAACAGAAUAAUAAUUAUUCUCUAACUUUAAAUGAAUAACCGUAUCGCAAUAAACACGAUCAAAUCAUGUUCAUGCUCAACGCAAAUGCCAAAUAACAUUUAUUUAGGUUUAACACUAAUCCCGAAAGUAUAGGGAGUGUGCGAUGAUGAUCAUAUCAAUCUUGGAACUACUUCCAACACUCAUCAUCACUUCCCCUUCAACUAGUCUCUGUUUAUUCUGUAACUCCUGUUUCGAGUUACUAAUCUUAGUAACCGGACAAGUAUCAAAUACUCAGGGGAUACUAUAAACACUAGUAAGGCACACAUCAAUAACCUGUAUAUCAAAUAUACCUUUGUUCACUUUGUCAUCCUUCUUAUCCACCAAAUAUUUGGAGUAGUUCCACUUACAGUGACCAUUUCCUUUGCAGUAGAAGCACUCAGUUUCAGGCUUAGGUCCAGCUUUGGGCUUCUUCAUGGGAGUGACAACUUGUUUGCCAUUCUACUUGAAGUUUCCCUUUCUUUCCCUUUGCCCUUUUCUUGAAACUAGUGAUCUUGUCAAUCAUCAACACUUUAUGCUCUUUCUUGAUUUCUACCUUCGUUGAUUUCAACAUCACGAAGAGCUUGGGAAACACUUUCGUCAUCCCUUGCAUAUUAUAGUUCAUCAUGAAGUUCUACUAACUUGGUGAUGGUGACUAGAGAAUUCUGUCAAUCACUAUUUUAUCUGGAAGAUUAACUCCCACUUGAUUCAAGCGAUUGUAGUACCCAGACAAUCUGAGCACAUACUCACUAGUUGAGCGAUUCUCCUCCAUCUUUUAGCAAUAGAACUUGUUGGAGACUUCAUAUCUCUCAACUCGGGUAUUUACUUGAAAUAUUAACUUCAAUUCCUGGAACAUCUCAUAUGGUCCAUGACGUUCAAAACGUCUUUGAAGUCCCGAUUCUAAGUCAUAAAGCAUGGUGCACAAAACUAUCAAGUAGUCAUCAUAUUGAGCUAGCCAAACGUUCAUAACGUCUGCAUCUGUUCCUGCAAUAGGUCUGUCACCUAGCGGUGCAUUAAGGACAUAAUUCUUCUGUGCAGCAAUGAGGAUAAACCUCAAAUCACGGAUCCAAUCUGUAUCAUUGAUACUAACAUCUUUCAAUACAAUUUUCUUUAGGAACAUAUUAAAAUAAACAUAUGAAAGCAACAACGCAAGCUAUUGAUCUACAACAUAAUUUGCAAAAUACUACCAGGACUAAGUUCAUGAUAAAUUUAAGUUCAAUUAAUCAUAUUACUUAAGAACUCCCACUUAGAUAGACAUCCCUCUAAUCCUCUAAGUGAUUACGUGAUCCAUAUCAACUACACCAUGUCCGAUCGUCACGUGAGAUGGAGUAGUUUCAACGGUGAACAUCAAUAUGUUGAUCAUAUCUACUAUAUGAUUCACGCUCGACCUUUCGGUCUCCGUGUUCCGAUGCCAUAUCUGUAUAUGCUAGGCUCGUCAAGUUUAACCUGAGUAUUCCGCAUGUGCAACUGUUUUGCACCCGUUGUAUUUGAACGUAGAGCCUAUCACACCCGAUCAUCACGUGGUGUCUCAGCACGAAGAACUUUCACAACGGUGCAUACUCAGGGAGAACACUUCUUGAUAAUUAGUGAGAGAUCAUCUUAAAAUGCUACCGUCAAUCAAAGCAAGAUAAGAUGCAUAAAGGAUAAACAUCACAUGCAAUCAAUAUAAGUGAUAUGAUAUGGCCAUCAUCAUCUUGUGCUUGUGAUCUCCAUCUCCGAAGCACCAUCGUGAUCACCAUCGUCACCGGCGCGACACCUUGAUCUCCAUCGUAGCAUCGUUGUCGUUUACGCCAUCUAUUGCUUCUACGACUAUCGCUACCGCUUAGAGAUAAAGUAAAGCAAUUACAGGGCGUUUGCAUUUCAUACAAUAAAGCGACAACCAUAUGGCUCCUGCCAGUUGCCGAUAACUUCGGUUACAAAACAUGAUCAUCUCAUACAAUAAAAUAUAGCAUCACGUCUUGACCAUAUCACAUCACAACAUGCCCUGCAAAAACAAGUUAGACGUCCUCUACUUUGUUGUUGCAAGUUUUACGUGACUGCUACGGGCUGAGCAAGAACCGUUCUUACCUAUGCAUCAAAACCACAAUGAUAGUUUGUCAAGUUAGUGUUGUUUUAACCUUCGCAAGGACCAAGCGUAGCCACACUUGGUUCAACUAAAGUUGGAGAAACAGACACCCGCUAGUCACCUGUGUGCAAAGCACGGCGGUAAAACCAGUCUCGCGUAAGUGUACGCAUAAUGUCGGUCCGGGCCGCUUCAUCCAACAAUACCGCUGAACCAAAGUAUGACAUGCUGGUAAGCAGUAUGACUUGUAUCGCCCACAACUCACUUGUGUUCUACUCGUGCAAAUAACAUCAACGCAUAAAACCUAGGCUCGGAUGCCACUGUUGGAGAACGUAGUGAUUUCAAAAAAAAUCCUACGCACACGCAAGAUCAUGGUGAUGGCAUAGCAACGAGAGGGGAGAGUGUUGUCCACGUACCCUCAUAGACCGUAAGCGGAAGCGUUAUGACAACGCGUUUGAUGUAGUCGUACGUCUUCACGAUCCGACCGAUCCAAGCACCGAACGUACGGCACCUCCGUGUUCAGCACACGUUCAGCUCGAUGACGUUCCCCGGGCUCCAAUCCAGCAAAGCGUCGGGGAUGAGUUUCGUCAGCACGACGGCGUGGUGACGAUGAUGAUGUUCUACCGACGUAGGGCUUCGCCUAAACUCCGCGACGAUAUGACCGAGGUGGAAUAUGGUGGAGGGGGGCACCGCACACGGCUAAGGAACGAUCCGUAGAUCAACUUGUGUGUCAUGGGGUGCCCCCCUCCCCCGUAUAUAAAGGGGGAGAGGAGGAGGGGCCGGCCAAGGGGAGAGGCGCGCCCUAGGGGGAGAAUCCUGCUCCAAGUAGGAUUCCCCCUCUUUCCUAGUCCUAGUCCAAGUAGGAGAGGGGAAGGAAGGGAAGGAGAAGGAGAAGGAAGGAGAGGGAGGAAAAGGAGGAAAGGGGGGGCGGCCCCCUAGUCCAAUUCGGUUUGGGCUAGGGGGGCCGCGCGCCCUGCCUCCUCUCUUCCACCACUUGGCCCAUGAGGCCCAUUGCUUCUUCCUCGUAUUCCCGUAACUCCCCGGUACCCCCGAAAAUACCCGAAUCACUCGGAACCUUUCCGAACUCCGAAUAUAGUCGUCCAAUAUAUCGAUCUUUACGUCUCGACCAUUUCGAGACUCCUCGUCAUGUCCCCGAUCUCAUCCGGGACUCCGGACUCCUUCGGUACAUUAAAACUCAUAAACUCAUAAUAAAACUGUCAUCGAAACCUUAAGCGUGCGGACCCUACGGGUUCGAGAACUAUGUAGACAUGACCUAGAACUAUUCUCGGUGAAUAACCAAUAGCGGAACCUGGAUGUCCAUAUUAGUUCCUACAUAUUCUACAAAGAUCUUUAUCGGUCAAACCGCAUAACAACAUGCGUUGUUCCCUUUGUCAUCGGUAUGUUACUUGCCCGAGAUUCGAUCGUCGGUAUCCAAUACCUAGUUCAAUCUCGUUACCGGCAAGUCCCUUUACUCGUUCCAUAAUACAUCAUUUCAUAACUAGCUCAUUAGUUACAAUGCUUGCAAGGCUUAUAUUACCAAGAGGGCCCAGAGAUACCUCUCCGACAAUCGGAGUGACAAAACCUAAUCCCAAAUUAUGCCAACUCAACAUGUACCUUUGGAGACACCUGUAGAGCACCUUUAUAAUCACCCAAUUACGUUGUGAUGUUUGGUAGCACACAAAGUGUUCCUCCGGUAAACGGGAGUUGAAUAAUCUCAUAGUUACAGGAACAUGUAUAAGUCAUGAAGAAAGCAAUAGCAACAUACUAAACGAUCAAGUGUUAAGCUAACGGAAUGGGUCAAGUCAAUCACAUCAUUCUUCUAAUGAUGUGAUCCCAUUAAUAAAAUGACAACACAUGUCUAUGGUUAGUAAACAUAACCAUCUUUGAUUAAUGAGCUAGUCAAGUAGAGGCAUACUAGUGACGUUAUGUUGGUCUAUGUAUUCACACAUGUAUUAUGUUUCCGGUUAAUACAAUUCUAGCAUGAAUAAUAAAUAUUUAUCAUUAUAUAAGGAAAUNNNNNNNNNNNNNNNNNNNNNNNNNNNNNNNNNNNNNNNNNNNNNNNNNNNNNNNNNNNNNNNNNNNNNNNNNNNNNNNNNNNNNNNNNNNNNNNNNNNNNNNNNNNNNNNNNNNNNNNNNNNNNNNNNNNNNNNNNNNNNNNNNNNNNNNNNNNNNNNNNNNNNNNNNNNNNNNNNNNNNNNNNNNNNNNNNNNNNNNNNNNNNNNNNNNNNNNNNNNNNNNNNNNNNNNNNNNNNNNNNNNNNNNNNNNNNNNNNNNNNNNNNNNNNNNNNNNNNNNNNNNNNNNNNNNNNNNNNNNNNNNNNNNNNNNNNNNNNNNNNNNNNNNNNNNNNNNNNNNNNNNNNNNNNNNNNNNNNNNNNNNNNNNNNNNNNAGCCACUCUUCGUGAGCCGCUCUGGAUGGCUGCGAUGCAAGAGGAGUUUGACGCCCUGUUGCGCAACCGGACGUGGCAGCUUGUUCCCCGUCCCCGGCACGCCAACGUGAUUACCGGGAAGUGGGUCUUGAAACACAAGAUCCGUCCUGAUGGUACCCUUGAUCGCUACAAAGCACGUUGGGUCGUUCGUGGCUUCCGACAGCAUGCUGGCAUCGACUUCAGUGACACCUUCGCUCCGGUCGUCAAGCCCGGCACGAUACACACGGUUCUCCACCUUGCGGUCUCCCGUGCUUGGCCGGUGCACCAGAUGGACGUCUCCAACGCCUUCCUCCAUGGUCACCUCGAGGAGCAGGUCUUCUGCCAGCAGCCCACCGGGUUUGUUGACCCGGCGCUUCCCGACCACGUGUGCCUGCUUUUGCGGUCCUUGUACGGACUCAAGCAGGCUCCGCGCGCUUGGUACCAGCGCAUCACGGCGUUUCUAACCAGCUUGGGUUCCGCUCUACCCGCUCGGAUGCCUCGCUCUUCGUCUAUCAUCAAGGCUCUGACACGGCCUACUUGCUGCUCUAUGUCGACGACAUCAUCCUGGCGGCAUGUACAGCUGGUCUCCUCAGUCAGCUCACGGCUCAUCUUCGCGCUGAGUUUGCCAUCAAGGACUUGGGUCCUUUGCACUACUUCCUCGGUGUCGAGGUGGUGCGUCGUCCGGAUGGCUUCUUCCUUCAUCAGCGGAAGUACGCUCAUGAGCUCCUCGAGCGCGCCGGCAUGCUUAACUGCAAGCCCGCCGCUACGCCUGUUGAUACGAAGGCCAAGCUUUCUUCCACGGAUGGUUCUCCUGCUUCGGAUGAUGUCUUCUAUCGGUCUAUCAUUGGUGCUCUCCAGUACCUCACUCUGACUUGCCCAGAGAUCCAGUAUGCCGUGCAACAGGUGUGUCUUCAUAUGCAUGCUCCUCGAGACGUUCACUGGGCUGCCGUCAAGCGGAUUCUCCGCUAUAUCUGUGGCACUAUGGAUCUUGGCAUCACGCUUCAUGCCUCUGCCGACACCGCCCUCACCGCCUACUCUGACGCAGACUGGGCGGGCUGCCCUGACACUCGUCGCUCCACUUCAGGCUAUUGUGUCUAUCUUGGACCCUCACUCAUCUCGUGGUCGUCCAAGCGGCAGCCUACAGUCUCUCGUUCCAGUGCUGAGGCUGAGUAUCGUGUGGUGGCCAACGCCGUCACCGAGUGUUCGUGGCUUCGCCAGCUGCUUCAGGAGCUCCCUUGCCUUGUUGACCGUGCCACGGUGGUCUACUGCGACAACGUCUCGGCGGUCUACCUCUCCGCUAACCCGGUGCAUCAUCGACGGACCAAGCAUAUUGAGUUGGAUAUUCAUUUUGUUCGGGAACAGGUGGCCCUUGGCCAUAUUCGCGUUUUGCACAUCCCUACUUCGCAACAAUUUGCCAAUAUCAUGACCAAGGGCUUGCCUACGGCGUCAUUUGAGGAGUUCCGGUCCAGUCUUUGCGUCAGCCGCGGUGCCGCUUCGACUGCAGGGGGGGUGUUGAGUAUAUGUGUUAUGUGCAUAUUGUGUAUUGGGCCCAAGGCCAAACGUGCGGACGGCUGUGUUCGCGUGGCGGCUGUUGGUCGUGUGAGGGAGGAGCUGAGUAGUGUUUCAUCCCUGUUGGCAAGCUCGCAUGAGCUCCACGAGUCUGACUCAUCGCCCACCCGCGUGCACCGGCCAAAGACCUACUCCAGCGCUGGUGAAUGCAGUAGUGUCUUCGCGAGAGAAGUUUGGCAUGUCAUUUGUGGAGCUCUGGGUAGGCCAUAGUGGGCGCCGAACCCGGACUCGAGGCUGCGGGACUGGGGUGCCGUCAUGGCUACUCCGGGACGGGAGGCGAAGAACACACGCGCUUUCCUGCUGCUCGUGCUAUGGGAAAUUUGGAAACACCGAAACGCAAUUGUCUUCAAUGGAGCCUCCGUCUCUUCAAAGACGCUAGCGAGCCGAAUCGACACCGAAGGACGCGCAUGGAAGCGAGCCGGCAUCUUCAAAGGCAACGUAGAACCUACUAUUGAGGGUUUAGUUAGGUGGGCUGAGGGGAGAAGCUAGGCUUUGAUAGUGUACGGCUAAGCCGGUGGAGUUGGUCCGCAUGUAACAUUGUAACAUGUAAACGUCAACGUGAACGGGCUCUUGUCCCCAUCCCCUUUUUUUAAUAUAUAGUACGCACACUCGUGCGUAUCCAGAAAAAAAUGCAGCAGCAGCACGCGUCGAACGACGUAGAGGAAACCGCAGUCGAGGAAGAGCACCAGCCGUGGUACCCAGCGAGGUAAGGGGUGAGGAAGCGGAUGAAGGAGAAACCGGUGCUCCCCAUCAUGGUUUGGAUCUGGGCGGUGGUGAGUGGUGAGACGAAUGGAGCGGCCGAGCCCGCCGCAACCUCUGCGAAGCACUACCAGCGGACCGAGCCGACGCGUGCCCCCAUGCGACCCCACAAGAAGACCGAGUCAAAAUCGUGAUGCAAAGUCAAAAUUGAAGCCUUAAUUGAUUCUCAGCACUUCCCACCCUAGGGAGCUUAAUGAUAUAGUAGAUUUUUAGCCAGCUCUAUCAUUGCAAAUAAUAGUUAAUUCAUACCCAGAUCCUUAGUAAACCCAUUGGCAAAAAAAUCUGGCUUCGCCCUUGGACGACACAACCUAUGGUUCCCAGUCAUAUAUACCAGCUCACUUCUGCCCUCCCCCUUUGCGAUCAGCCACACAGACAGUGGCCGCAAGCAUAACCAAAAAGACUAUGAAGUUAUGUGGAAUUAAUUGUCUCCCAACUCAAUCUCAAUCCAACUUGUCGCCACACAAAUUGUUGUGGAAUUCACAUUUAUAGUCGUCUCCGAAGCAAGGGAGCAAGUGAUGCAGCAUAUGACUCCACGGACUGGCACACCCUCGGUUUUUGUUUUCUUAUUGGGAUCUUGCUUUUCAUGGUUCUUAUCUCUGCAACUCGCGAUUUUCGCGAGAGAAUCAAAUCCAAGUUGAUGAAGAUCAUGAUUUGGGCUGUCAUUUGAUCGAUUUCCUUCAUUUGAUCAGUGCCCAAUAGAUUAUCCAUGGCAUCUACAUGCCAUAGGGAUCCAUUAGAACAGGGCAAUACCUCAUUUUGGUUAGAACAAGGUUAAUAAUAUAUCCAAUAACCGGCUACAAGGAGUUGCCACAUCACCUAUAGUCAACCUAAUAGUAGCAAAUUAUAAAUAUGCACUGCUUUACUAACAGCUGGUUCACCUUACAACCUCACAAGGUGUUAGGAUCCUAAAAAACGUGUUAGGACAAUUAUUAACGUGUUUUUAAAGAACUUAUCAACGUGGUUUCUAGGAGUCCAUUUUAAAAUAGAUAGGGAUAGGGAUAGGGAUAGAGAUGACAAUGAUGUAAUAAAUUGAGUCAAUCCUUCAUUAAUGAUGAUAGCUAAAUUUAGUAUAAAGAGAGAUGACAAUUAUGCUGCUACUUCACUGCACUAGAGUCUCUCAAUCCGUAGUGUCCAUUUCGCCGACGGCUAUGUGCAUGUGUGCACUUAUAAGCUUGAAUAUGCAUGUGUGUAUGUGACUGUCUGCGUCUGUACUAUUUCUUAAAAAGUAUAUUAUCUGUGGACGUGGUGUUUUGGAACUCUGGCUUGGGAUGAACAGUAAAAUCAAAUGAAAUAGGAAAAAUCCAAAAUAAAAUUGCGGCGCAAGAUCCUUCUGUGUGUGAACUCCGUGCAAAAUUUUGUGAAGUUUGGACAUCCGUGGAGUUCAUGGAAAAAAAAAGAAAAAUUCCGGAUGUCUGAGAAACUUUUGAAAAUUACACUGUCCAUGUCUGAUUUUGUAUUUUUUGCCACAAGCUCCUCACGUGUCCAAACUUCAAAAAGAAAAUUGCACAGAGUUCACGUACAGGAGCAUCUUGCACCAUAAAACAACUUGGAUUUUUUUGAAAGUUUUUCUAUUUUAUUUGAUUUUAUUGUUCACCAGGUGCAUCUAAGCUUGGGUUCUGGAUUGAAUAUCGAUUUUGUUCUAUUCUCCGCGCUUAUUCUUUUGGAGCUCUAGAAACAUAGAAUGACAAGUUUCUAAUCGUGCUUCGCCAUUAGUGGUGAUGGUUAUUGGCAAGGUAGUUCAAGAAAGUAGAACGUGGCAUCGCGCAUGGAUUCUUCAGAAACUACGAGCCCUUCAUCAGGGUGUCAAAUGAGUGGGGCACUACCGUAUAAUUGAUUUUCUUUUAGUGCUUGUUCGGUUGCAAGGGGUUUGAAGGGGAUUGGAGUGGAUUGAAGAGGAUUAAUUCCCCUACAAGUCAAAUUCCCCCUUGAUCCCCUCCAAACCCCUUCAAUCCUCUCCAAAAGAGGUUUAACCGAACAAGGCAUUAGGGAGGUUGGUUCAGGUAUUGAGUGCAUUGAGUUGAUGUCCUAAACAUGUCAAUGAGGCUUGCUUUCUAAACAUUUCCCAUUCUAAUAUAUGAUACAACAUGUUUUUGCGUAUUUUAGAAAAGCGAUGACAGGGACGUAAUUUAAAGAGUCAAUCCUUUGUUGAUGAUGAUAGUGACUUAUAUCAUCAGAUUAGUUGUUUUGAUGUAAUAUUGUCAUCUCACUUUAUUUUCAGUUGAAACCUACCGAAAACCACAUUAAGCCAUGUCAUCAUUUAAACUAGAGCAUUAAGAUAAACACAACCGUGUCACCAUGAACAUCCAUGAAAAUACUAAUUGUCAAACAGUUUUGCUAAAUCGAUUGAGACUUCCUUAUGUCUCAGCCGAUGCUAUAUUCCUUUGAUCUUGCACAGAGAUUCGUAUAAAAAAUUUCUUUUUAGUUUUUUUUCUUCUAAUACACUGUAUCAAUUGCAUGAAACAUGGUUAAAUCUCAGUUGACUGAGACCUAUCCACACCCUCAUUAUCAAAAGGCAAAUUAGUUGACUCAAAUCUCCACAACUGCAAAGGCCUAAUAGUGACUUCAAAAAAAUAAAGUUUGAGAUGGUUGUCAUGUACUCCCUCCGUUCCUAAAUAGAAGUCUUUUUAGACAUUUCAAAUAGACUACAAUAUACGGAUGUAUGUAGACAUAUUUUAAAGUGUAGAUUCAUUCAUUUUACUUCGUAUAUAGUCACUUGUUGAAAACUCUAAAAAGACAUACAUUUAGGCAGUGGCGAAGCCACGUACAAGCUGGGUAGUCAAUUGACUGCCCAGCUUUUUGGUGAAACUAGCAUAUAGGUGUAGAAAUAGUGAAAUAAAUUUGUAUAAAUUUGUAUAUUUGACUACACAAUUUCAAAUUGACUACACAAGACAAUAUUUCUGGCACCGCCACUGCAUUUAGGAACGGAGGGAGUACAUCUCUGUAUAUGGCGAUGGUUGUUGCCUUGGCGCACCGCGAGAUGCCUUUGCUCCCUUCUUGCUUCUGGCGCCUCAUCCUCCUCGUGCUAGCCGCGGAAACAGGCCAAGGCAACCGAGCAACAAAGCUCUUGAGCCCUGAGAAUCUCCUUCUGUUCUACUAGGACAUGUUUUCAUUGCCCACGAUAAAUAUGUUCCACGGGUUGCCAUACGUGCCGACAACGCAUGAUCAUUUUGGAGUUUAUCCCCGGGGACAAAUGGCACCUUAGGGAUAUAGCCAACCCAAGGGGUCAGUGUGGACCAACAUUGAAAAUAUUAAUAUGAAUUUAAUUACAUUAAAAAUAUUUUGUGCGCCAUAUAUAGGCUUCGAGGAAUUUCUAGGAUGACCAUGGACCACCUUGUCCAUCCCCUAGCUACAUCCAUGUGCACUAUAAAAGCAACUCCAACGCGCCGACCCAAAUUGUCUGUGCGUGUUCAUUUGGAUCGAAACAGACACAAAAGACGGCCCAACGCAGUGACCCAAAUGGAUGAGCGUUCAUUUUUUGUCCACGCACGACCCAUUUCAGGCGUGUGAUGUGCGCGACGCCGCCCUUGUCCUCCCCUGGCCCACCAGUCGGUGGCACAUUGGCAAUUUCAUCGUCCUCCCAGCGACAUCCAGCAAACCCGGCCGCCCCACCCAUCGCCGCCGGCGCCCAGUUCCGGUGCACAUGCUAGCCGUCCACACCCACAUACCUCCCCCCGCAGCACGUCACCUUCCAACGUCGCUGCUACCACCGCCACCGCAACAUCACGAUGUCGCCGCCGCCACCCCCUGCCCGCAGCACCCAUGCGCAGCGUCCGGCUCCGCCAUGCCCGCUGGACACCGACAAGCCUUCUAGCUGGUCCAGGAGAGGCCCGAGGCUCUUCAUCGACCAGCUUCUUCCACGACGCCCGCAAGUUGUUCGACGGUUUGCCUGCAAGGUAUAAAUGGACUCCGUCGACGAGUUCUUUUUUCACAAUUUCAUUUACGACUUUGAUGAUUCUUCAUCCGACGAUGAGGAGCUUGUGGCUGAUGUAUGGGUCGUCCAUGACCACCUUAGUAGGCAGCGGCCCAUGUUUAGGGGCUCGAUCCCGGGGCACACUCCGGCGUUCAAUUGCAACUAAGGGAGCAGCGGCCAUUGCCUACUCUGGCAGGACUACUUCGAGUCCCCCUACCCGCUCUUCAAACACAACCUAUUCCAGCGCCGCUUUCGUAUGGCUUGUUCAACUAUAUCCGAGAGGGAGUGGUAGCAUACGAUAAGUAUUUUGAGUGUAAGGAGGAUGCCCUAGGAAAGAUUGACUUCUCCUCUUAUCAGAAAUGCACUGCAACUAUUCCGAUGCUUGCAUACAGAUUUUUCGGUAUCUCAUUAAUGAGAAUGUCUGAAUGAGCAAGUCCACGUGCCUAGACUCCAUGUAUAGGUUCUGCAAGGCUGUGAUAGCAGUGUUUGGCCCGGAGCACUUGAGAGAGCCAAAUGGUGCAGAUACAGCCCGUUAUUGGCGAUCAAUGUCCGUAGGGGCUUUCCGGGGAUGCUUGGUAGCAUAGAUUGUAUGCACUGGGACUGGAAGAACUGUCCUUCUGCUUAGCAAGGGCAGUAUAGGGGCCAUGUCAAAGCUUGCACUAUCAUACUUGAGGUCGUGGCUUCACAAGAUCUCUGGAUUUGACACUCUUUCUUCGGCAUGGCCGAAUCUCACAACGAUAUCAACGUGCUUCAACGCUCUUUGGUGUUUGCAAGGCUUGCAGAAGGAAACUGCCUGGAGGUCAAUGUUGAGAUCAAUGGCCACCACUAUAACAAAGGAUAUUACCUAGCCGACAGUACCUAUCCUCAGUGGACUACUCUUGCAAAGACAAUCCCUAACCUAUAGGAGAGAAGAGGAAGAGAUUUGCCCAAGAGCAAGAGAGUGCUAGGAAGGAUGUGGAGCAUGCCUUUGGUGUUCUUCAAUCUCGAUGGGCAUCGUUCGGUAUCCUGCUAGAACUUGGAGCACUUGUGGGAGGUGAUGACUGCUUGCGUGAUCAUGCACAAUAUGGUCGUAGAGGAUGAGCGGCCGGAACGUAUCUACGACCAAGAGUUUCAGUUUCAGGGUGAAAAUAUUGUGGUCGAGCAUGGAGGAGUGACAACAUUUGCGCAGUUAACCGAAUUUCAUUAUCAAAUGCGUGAUUGAGAAACUCAUAUUCAACUGCAAAAUGAUUUGGUUGAGUAUAUGUGGGCUCACAUUGGCAACUUAUAGAUGUAACGGCUAUCUUUUUUUAUGUAUUUGAUAAUUAAAUUUUUUUGGCUUGUAAACUAUGAGAUUUUAUUUGGUUGUGAAACUAUGAGAUAUUUAUAUUUUGUUUGAAUUACGUGAACCAAGACCAAAUUUUCAUAUGUUUGCAAAAAGAGCUAAAAAUGAUCGCGGGCCGGCCUUGAGGACGAAAAUGCGUCCGCGCGUUGGGCGCACGGCCGAUCCAAACACCAAAAGGGGUGAACAAGCCGACCAAACGGAUAAAAAGCGGACAAAACGCACGUCCGUUUGUGUCGGCGCGAUGGAGUUGCUCUAACUGCUGCAUUAUGCUCCAUCUCAAUGCAUGUAUAUUUGACCUAAAGGCAUGUUUAGUUAGUCUGAUAGAUUUGACGAUUCUUAAAAAGCAUUUCCUGGUCUUCAUUAGCUUGGGUUAAAAACCCAUUUUCCCUUAUAAGUUUUACCCAAAUGGUUUCAAAUAAAAACACCCACACAUGCCACUUCAUUUCCUCCUUGGUUUUCCCAAUGUGUUUCUAAUGUCAUUGGCAUGUACCUUGAUUAGGCCGGAUGAGGUUGAUGCGAUUUCAUUUUCUCCUUAAGUGGCCCAUUCAUUCCGCCGUCAAAAAGCUACAGUACUAGUUCGGGCUGCACUUAUUUGCACGGACGCUAUGCUACAGUAGGACUGCGUUUCCAAGAAGAGCAUGCGCGCACGAACUUUGCAUGCGCGCCCUGCCCCAAGGCGGCCACGCACGAGUUAGGCAAAAGACUUCGGGGGCCAGACUCUUUUCGUGUUCUUCCCACGGCACGGCGGUAUAAAUUGCCGGCGCGCCAUAUUUGUCUGCCCGGCCGGCGGCAAAAAAGAUCAUUUCGAUAGCUAGCUUCCUGAUCGAGCGAGCUAGCGAGCCCCAUGCAUGCAACUUCUUCGCAGCCUCCCUCCACCCCGGCCCCUGCCGAUCAGCUCCACCAUCCGAGAGCUUUGUAGGUGACUUACUCGCCUGGUGAUUAGCAGGCAGGAAGUAGCUGGUUUUUAACCCGGCGCACCGCCCACCUACUCGCCAUCUCCUCCGGUUCUACACCGCAGCAACAUCGAUCGUUUACCCUCUGUACGUACCUAGCCCGUACCUGACGACGGUGACCUCCCUCCUUGGCGCCAUGGGGAGCUCGUGCGUGAACCUCUCCCGCGCCGUCGCCGCCGCGAGGCGCCCGGGCUUCGCCGGCGGCGUCGGCGGCCACGGGAGGAGCGUGGUUGCAUUGUCGUCGUCGUCGUCGUCGAGGAGGCGCACUGCCGCCGACGGCGGCUUGUCGUGCGGCAUCGCCAACGGGUACCUGGGCGGCUCGUCGGGUGGGUCGCGGCCGCCUUCCUUGCCGGUGCACGGCAAGAGCUCCGGGCCCGGUUCGGCGCGGGAGGCGGGUGGUCACGAUCACGCUGACGGGCUCGGGAUCCAGGAGUUCCUUGGCGGCAAGAACUUCCUCAUCACCGGCGGGACUGGCUUCCUAGCAAAAGGUACGUUUAUGUCGCCAUCUUCAUAGUUCUCUCUGCCUCCACUUGAUUAUCGCUGCCAUUUUCGUGCUCGAUUUCGUUUCGAAUUUAUUUAUCUACCGUGUCAGUUCUGAUCGAGAAAAUCUUGAGGACGAACCCUGACGUGGGCAAGAUAUACGUGCUGAUCAAGGCCAAGGACAGCGAGACGGCAUUGCAGAGACUGCAAAAUGAGGUAUGACUACUAACUAACCAUACCCUAACCCUACCAGUUUUGAUCUUCAUCCAAACGAUGAUAUUCUUUUCCAUUUUCCCGUGCGCGGCAUUCGUGCAGGUGGUGGACACGGAGCUGUUCAAGCGCCUGCAGGAGAUCCACGGCAAAGACUACCAAGGUUUCAUAGCGACAAAGCUUGUCCCCGUAGUUGGCGACGUCAGGGAGACCAACAUCGGCAUUGCCCCCGAGCUGGCCGAUGAGAUCGCGGAGCGGGUGGACAUCAUCGUCAACUCCGCCGCCAAUACCACCUUCGACGAGAGGUUCGUCCUUCUAUAAUAUAUACGUGCACUUGUCUUCUAGCUAGAGUUUUUGCAUUGCUCCAAGAUUCAGUCACUCCAUCGUGUGAAACAGAAUUUUACAUCUGAAUAUUCAACCAGGUAUGAUGUCGCCAUGGACAUCAACACCGUGGGGCCGUUCCGGAUAAUGAGUUUCGCGCAUCGGUUUCGAAGGCUGAAGCUCUUCCUGCAAGUGUCCACAGGUCAGGCUCAUGCCAUCUGCCAAAUGAAUCCUUUCCGCGUGAAAGCGAUGUUUACUUAGAAUUUUCCCUUUGGGGGGGUUUCCAACGGUUGUGUUGCAUUUGCAUGACAUAAUAACCAUGCAUGAUCGCAGCGUAUGUGAACGGGCAGAGGCAGGGUGUCGUGCUGGAGAAGCCGUUUCGGUUGGGAGACACCAUAGGGAAAGGGUCGGCUGGAUCCUCGGAUUCUUCGGAGCAGCACAAGAACGCCGUGCUGGACAUCGAGGCGGAGAUCAAGCUGGCCUUCGACUCGAGAAGGCGCGCCGAUGAUGACUCGGCUUCGUUCUCUCAGGAGAUGAAGGAUCUGGGGCUAGAGAGGUAAGCAAUGCAUACAUUUCUUGCCAUGACCUCCUUGGUCUCGGUCUGAAGGUGCGACAUUAGUUUGAUUUGCUGAACGUGCUGGUUACUCCUGUAGAGCGAAGCUCCAUGGGUGGCAGGACACCUACGUGUUCACCAAGGCCAUGGGGGAGAUGGUGAUCAACAGCAUGCGAGGGGAGAUCCCCGUGGUCACCAUCAGGCCGAGCGUGAUCGAGAGCACCUGGAGAGACCCCUUCCCGGGCUGGAUGGAAGGGAACAGGUACGUACGUGAGUGUAGAAUGUGGUACGAUCUUGCAGAGUUCAUCAACAUUCUGUUUCUGAUUUCCAUUGGCCAAUUGAUUUGCUCGAACAGGAUGAUGGACCCUGUCGUCCUCUACUACGGCAAAGGGCAGCUCAGCGGGUUCCUCGCCGAUCCGGCCGGCGUUCUUGACGUGGUAAUCAGCUACGCAUUCCCUAAUUAAGCAAAUGUACGCAGUGAGGCCAUGGAGCUGAUCUCGCAGAUGCUAAUGGCUUUCUUGUUGUGUCCUUUGGCAAGGUUCCGGCGGACAUGGUGGUGAACGCGACGCUGGCGACGAUGGCGAAGCACGGCCAGGCGGCGGAGGGGGGAAUGCACGUGUACCACGUGGCGUCGUCGACGGUGAACCCGCUGGUGUUCGGCGACCUGAGCCGGUUCCUGUUCCAGCACUUCACGAGGAGCCCCUACAGCGAUGCGGCGGGGCAGCCCAUCGCCGUGCCGCCCAUGCGCCUCUUCGACACCAUGGAGCAGUUCGCCAGCUACGUCGAGACGGACGCGCUGCUCCGGAGCGCCAGGGCCGGCAUCCCCGCCGACGAGCGCCUCUCGCAGCGCCUCCAGGAGCUCUGCGCCAAGUCCGUCGAGCAGACCAUCCACCUCGGCAGCAUCUACCAGCCCUACACUUUCUACACCGGCAGGUCAUCUUUCUCUCUCCCACCCAUGGCAUGUCAUUUAUAUGUUUUGUUUGCUCAAAGCUGCUACCAUGCGUCGCCGGCGAUGGACGGCGUAUGCAGGUUCGACAAUGGCAACACGGAGGGGCUCAUGGCGGAGAUGUCGGCAGAGGAGAAGGCAGCGUUCCACUUCAACGUGAGGAGCAUCGACUGGACGGACUACAUCACCAACGUCCACAUCCCAGGGCUCAGGAAGCACGUCAUGAAAGGGAGGGGCAUCACCGCGGAAUCGCCACCCUCCUCCACGGUGCUCGCCGCCACCUCCACAGUGUGAACCCACCGCCGUAACACCGAACACCGAAAUGCGCCGCGGCGUGUACACUAGAGUUAGAUGUAUCAAGUGCCUAAGCACGUGAUCCAC
rnacentral:lncRNA from 1 species